CGGAGGGAAACCGAGUCUUAAUUGGGCGUUAAGUUGCAGGGUAUAGACCCGAAACCCGGUGAUCUAGCCAUGGGCAGGUUGAAGGUUGGGUAACACUAACUGGAGGACCGAACCGACUAAUGUUGAAAAAUUAGCGGAUGACCUGUGGCUGGGGGUGAAAGGCCAAUCAAACCGGGAGAUAGCUGGUUCUCCCCGAAAGCUAUUUAGGUAGCGCCUCGUGAAUUCAUCUCCGGGGGUAGAGCACUGUUUCGGCUAGGGGGCCAUCCCGG
rnacentral:rRNA from 1 species